AGGAACUGAGAGAAGCAGUCCAAAGAUGUCCUUCACCCCUCCUUUAGUUUUCUUGAUUUAACACCACACACACACACACACACACACACACAAUCCUUUUUUCCUUUAGUCAGACUUGGCAGCAAAGAUGCUUUUCCUGUACAGGAUGUUUGCCCAGUGUUUGCAGGUUAUGUGCUGCUGUAGAUAAGGACUGUGCCAUUGGAAAUUUCAUUACAAUGAAGUGC
rnacentral:lncRNA from 1 species